rnacentral:rRNA from 1 species
UACGAAGGGGGCUAGCGUUGUUCGGAUUUACUGGGCGUAAAGCGCACGUAGGCGGAUUGUUAAGUUGGGGGUGAAAUCCCAGGGCUCAACCCUGGAACUGCCCUUCAAUACUGGCAAUCUAGAGUCCGGAAGAGGUGAGUGGAACUCCUAGUGUAGAGGUGGAAAUUCGUAGAUAUUCGCAAGAACACCAGUGGCGAAGGCGGCUCACUGGCCCGAUACUGACGCUGAGGCACGAAAGCGUGGGGAGCAAACAGG